AUAUGAAUGCCUCAAUUUUUAGAAAACCGAGAAAACUUGAAAACUGACCGAGUUAUGAUUGAAAAAGUAGAUUCGCGAAAAUGGGAAAGUGUGCAAAAUUUGGCACUUAUUCGUCUUGCUCGGCCGACUCAUAGAACUUUACUCAAUUCUGAGUUGAAAAUCGUGUUCAACGUAUUUUUUUACGUGGGGUAGAAAAAAAAUAUCAAAAAAGAUGAACAAAACCCGAAUUUUAAUUCAAUUAAAACAUGGUUUUUUGGGGGUAAAAAGAGCAAAAAAAUUUUUUUUCAAACUGGGGAAAGCCGCCCUGAGCUCAGUUUUGCUCCAAACUAAGUGCCGUUUUCUGCUCCACCGUGGGGCAAAAUAUUUCUAGUAGGAUUUCAAAUAUUAGAGCAUGAAGUCACGCGGCUCUGGAGUUAUUAAUGAAAACGAAGUGGGACAUUUUUUCGCAAGCCAAAAAAAGUGUCAAAAAACGCGAAAAAGGGGCGGAGUCUGCACACUCGGCAUUUAUUAGAGGCUGCUUGGCAGAAUUUCAAUUUUUUGGUACUUUUUUUUGUUUGAGCUCACUCCAUAUUUUUUCGCCCUCCUUCCCUUGUCAGCGGUCUCCCGUCCCAAUUUUAUUGCACCGAACACCCUUAAAAAUGCAUCGACGUAUUUUUUUCCACACAUCUUCUCAUGUCUCCGUCUCUUCUCUCUCGCCUACCCUCGACCCUUCCGCAGAAAUAUUCAUUCCGUUUUUUGGAGGCGACUUGUGUGGUUUGCCAAAAAUUUUCUAUUGAUUUUUACUGAUUUUGCUGAUUUUUUAACUGAUUAUUUGGAUUUUCAUAAAUUGAAGUGACAAGCAUUCUAACCUCGACGAGUCAAGCGCCAAAGUCGUUCCCUCAUCAAGAGAACCUAAAACAGCCCCAUUUUACGAAGUCCUCAACUUCAAAAGUUCGUGCUGAAAAGGAUUGAAAAAGGGACAAAAUGAAAAAACGGAUCAUCUAUAAUGCAGCAAUCGUCAUCUUGAAAUUUUUGUAAAUUUUUUAAUAUUUAAUUUUAUUAUCAAAUGAAAAAAAUUGA
ensembl:lincRNA linc-40 ncRNA